UACGGAGGGUGCAAACGUUGCUCGGAAUCAUUGGGCGUAAAGCGCACGUAGGCGGCCUGUUAAGUCGGGUGUGAAAGCCCUGGGCUCAACCCAGGAAGUGCACUCGAAACUGGCGGGCUUGAAUAUGGAAGAGGGUCGCGGAAUUCCCCGGUGUAGAGGUGAAAUUCGUAGAUAUCGGGGAGGAACACCAGUGGCGAAGGCGGCGACCUGGGCCAAUAUUGACGCUGAGGUGCGAAAGCGUGGGGAGCAAACAGG
rnacentral:rRNA from 1 species